CUGCGAAGGUGUGUCGUGAGGCAUGCUGGAGGUAUCAGAAGUGCGAAUGCUGACAUAAGUAACGAUAAAGCGGGUGAAAAGCCCGCUCGCCGGAAGACCAAGGGUUCCUGUCCAACGUUAAUCGGGGCAGGGUGAGUCGACCCCUAAGGCGAGGCCGAAAGGCGUAGUCGAUGGGAAACGGGUUAAUAUUCCCGUACUUGGUGUUACUGCGAAGGGGGGACGGAGAAGGCUAUGUUGGCCGGGCGACGGUUGUCCCGGUUUAAGCGUGUAGGUGUGUGUUCCAGGUAAAUCCGGUUCACUUUAACACUGAGGCGUGAUGACGAGGCACUACGGUGCUGAAGCAACAAAUGCCCUGCUUCCAGGAAAAGCCUCUAAGCAUCAGGUAACAUCAAAUCGUACCCCAAACCGACACAGGUGGUCAGGUAGAGAAUACCAAGGCGCUUGAGAGAACUCGGGUGAAGGAACUAGGCAAAAUGGUGCCGUAACUUCGGGAGAAGGCACGCUGACACGUAGGUGAAGUGAUUUACUCAUGGAGCUGAAGUCAGUCGAAGAUACCAGCUGGCUGCAACUGUUUAUUAAAAACACAGCACUGUGCAAACACGAAAGUGGACGUAUACGGUGUGACGCCUGCCCGGUGCCGGAAGGUUAAUUGAUGGGGUCAGCGCAAGCGAAGCUCCUGAUCGAAGCCCCGGUAAACGGCGGCCGUAACUAUAACGGUCCUAAGGUAGCGAAAUUCCUUGUCGGGUAAGUUCCGACCUGCACGAAUGGCGUAAUGAUGGCCAGGCUGUCUCCACCCGAGACUCAGUGAAAUUGAACUCGCUGUGAAGAUGCAGUGUACCCGCGGCAAGACGGAAAGACCCCGUGAACCUUUACUAUAGCUUGACACUGAACAUUGAGCCUUGAUGUGUAGGAUAGGUGGGAGGCUUUGAAGUGUGGACGCCAGUCUGCAUGGAGCCGGCCUUGAAAUACCACCCUUUAAUGUUUGAUGUUCUAACGUGGACCCGUGAUCCGGGUUGCGGACAGUGUCUGGUGGGUAGUUUGACUGGGGCGGUCUCCUCCUAAAGAGUAACGGAGGAGCACGAAGGUUGGCUAAUCCUGGUCGGACAUCAGGAGGUUAGUGCAAUGGCAUAAGCCAGCUUGACUGCGAGCGUGACGGCGCGAGCAGGUGCGAAAGCAGGUCAUAGUGAUCCGGUGGUUCUGAAUGGAAGGGCCAUCGCUCAACGGAUAAAAGGUACUCCGGGGAUAACAGGCUGAUACCGCCCAAGAGUUCAUAUCGACGGCGGUGUUUGGCACCUCGAUGUCGGCUCAUCACAUCCUGGGGCUGAAGUAGGUCCCAAGGGUAUGGCUGUUCGCCAUUUAAAGUGGUACGCGAGCUGGGUUUAGAACGUCGUGAGACAGUUCGGUCCCUAUCUGCCGUGGGCGCUGGAGAACUGAGGGGGGCUGCUCCUAGUACGAGAGGACCGGAGUGGACGCAUCACUGGUGUUCGGGUUGUCAUGCCAAUGGCACUGCCCGGUAGCUAAAUGCGGAAGAGAUAAGUGCUGAAAGCAUCUAAGCACGAAACUUGCCCCGAGAUGAGUUCUCCCUGAGACUUAGAGUCUCCUGAAGGAACGUUGAAGACGACGACGUUGAUAGGCCGGGUGUGUAAGCGCAGCGAUGCGUUGAGCUAACCGGUACUAAUGAACCGUGAGGCUUAACCUU
rnacentral:rRNA from 1 species